GCUCCAGCCUUGGCCAGCCCAGAAAGGGAAUCCCACAGUGCAGUGGGGGGCUGAAGGGCUCCUCAAAUGCCACCAAAGUGGGAGCCCAGGCAGGGGAGGUGCCGAGAGAGCAAGCGAGGGCUCUGAGGACUGCCAGCACGCUGUCACCUCUCAAUUUUACAAGCAACUUACUUCUCCAAGACCAGGUGGAUAUGAUUCAUGCUCUGAAACUAUGUAUGUCCAUCUACUUCAAACUGAAGCUGUCAUUUAAUUUGCAUUCCAUCAAUUGAAUCAGAUAAUAGGCUCUAUUGUAGCCUGUAAAACUGACAAUGUCUCCUUUCUUCAAGUCGCAUUGACGUAAGAAGAGUUGUAUUUUUAUAGAAAGAAAAUAUUUUGCCUAAUCGCCUUCAAAGGAGCCUUGUACACAAUCUCUAGGUGAGGAAUGACUUUGUAAUCCGAGGCAUAAGGUAAUUGUAAAUGAUAAGUCACCUAUUAUCUAUUAGAGUUCAGAAUGACUCAAAAGUUAAAGUGAUUCAUGUGUUUUGCUGAUGGAUAAGAAAGAUGUUUUGAAAAAUAGGAAAUAGGCUCUUUCCUAGAAUACCUAUAAUAUACUUAAACAUGUAAUGCACAUACAUAAUGUAUAUCAUUAUGAGAUGAAUUGUGUCUCACAAAAUUCAUAACUUAAAGCUGUAACCCGCAGUACUUUGAAUGUGACUGUAUUCAGAGAAAGAACGUUCACAGAGAUCUCAAAUUAACAGCCCAUUAUUAUGGAAGUUCUUUAUUGAUCGCCAAAAUGGGUUAGGUAUACCUGUUAACAAGAACCUGAGACCUGCCGAACAGCAGGUGCCAAAGAUGCUGCUGUAACACCACAGCCCUCCCAUCUUCCAUCCUCCACUGGCGCUGAGUGGCAGUCCCAUGUGACAGGAAGUGGAGGCAGAGCUGGGCCAGCCCAGGAGCCACGUGCUGGAGCCAGAUACUCUGUUUUUCUACAAAUGGAAAGUUUGUGGCAUCCUUGACUCAAGCAAAUUUUUCAGCACCAUUUUUCAAGAGCGUGUGCUCACUUCACCUCUCUGUAUCGUGUUUUGAUGCUUGUCCUGGAAACCAACCAUGAGCUGUGAUGAAAUCCAGGCAACUGAGUUGUGUUUCAGCCCAAAGCAGCAAAUGGAAUCCAGCUUCAGGACCAUCAUCUGACAUAGGGGAAGAAGACUUACAUAGAAGGCCUAACCAGCACCCAAGAUCAUGCUCAUAGGUGGAGGAGACUUGCUUUGUCUCAGAUGAGACUUUGGACUGUGGACUUUUGAGUUAAUGCUGAAAUGAGUUGAGACUUUGGGGAACUGUUGGGAAGGCAUGAUUGGUUUUAAAUAUGAAUAUAUGAGAUUUGGGAGGGGGUCAGGGGUGGAAUGAUAUGGUUUGGCUCUGUGUCCCCACCCAAAUCUCAUCUUGUAGCUCCCAUAAUCCUCCCAUGUUGUGGGAGGGACCCAGUGGGAGAUGAUUGAAUCAUGAGGGCGGGUCUUUCUCAUGCUGUUCAUGAUCCCAUUCAUGUGAGAAAGACCCAUGUGAUCAUGAAUGGGUCUCACAAGAUCUGAUGGUGUUAAAAAUGGGAGUUUCUCUGCACAAGCUCUCUGCCUGCUGCCAUUCACAAAGGAUGUGACUUGCUUCUCCUUGCCUUCUGCUAUGAUUGUGAGGCCUCCCUAGCCAUGUGGAACUGUGAGUCCAAUUAAACCUCUUUCUUUUGUAAAUU
rnacentral:lncRNA from 10 species